GAUGAACGCUGGCGGCGUGCCUAAUACAUGCAAGUCGAGCGAACGGACGAGAAGCUUGCUUUUCUGAUGUUAGCGGCGGACGGGUGAGUAACACGUGGAUAACCUACCUAUAAGACUGGGAUAACUUCGGGAAACCGGAGCUAAUACCGGAUAAUAUUUUGAACCGCAUGGUUCAAAAGUGAAAGACGGUCUUGCUGUCACUUAUAGAUGGAUCCGCGCUGCAUUAGCUAGUUGGUAAGGUAACGGCUUACCAAGGCAACGAUGCAUAGCCGACCUGAGAGGGUGAUCGGCCACACUGGAACUGAGGCACGGUCCAGACUCCUACGGGAGGCAGCAGUAGGGAAUCUUCCGCAAUGGGCGAAAGCCUGACGGAGCAACGCCGCGUGAGUGAUGAAGGUCUUCGGAUCGUAAAACUCUGUUAUUAGGGAAGAACAUAUGUGUAAGUAACUGUGCACAUCUUGACGGUACCUAAUCAGAAAGCCACGGCUAACUACGU
rnacentral:rRNA from 1 species